GAUGAACGCUAGCGCUAGGCUUAACACAUGCAAGUCGAGGGACCGUCGCACGGGUGCGUAACGCGUAUGCAACUUGCCUCACAGAGGGGGAUAACCCGUCGAACGACGGACUAAUACCGCGUACUGUGAGAUAGGCAUGCGUCCCAUUAGCUAGUGGGUGAGUUAACGGCACACCAAGGCAAAGAGGGGUAGGGGAACUGAGAGGUUGAACCACCACACUGUUACUGAGACACGGACCAGAUUCCUACGGGAGGCAGCAGUUAUGAAUAUUGGUCAAUGGGCGAGAGCCUGACCCAGCCAAGUCGCGUGAAGGAUGACGGUCUAUGGAUGGUAAACUGCUUUUGUAGGGGAAUAUGUACCCUACGAAUAAGCAUCGGCUAACUCCGUGCCAGCAGCCGCGGUAAUAC
rnacentral:rRNA from 1 species